CGCAAGGAAGGAGAGCCUCAGGCAGGGCAGAAGCUGCCCUCCUUCCUCAUGCUCCCCUCUCCCUACCCCAGGGCUCGACUGGAAAAGCAGGCAUCAGUGCCUUGCCUGCCAGGCCAGAGCAGCCUGACACGGAUGAGUGAGUCAGGACCCGGGGAGAGCCCUGAGUAUGUCCUGAGAGCAGAGGGACAAUGCUCAGAGGGGCUUGGCAUUGUGGUGAUGCAGAGGGACAGAGAGAAGCCCCAAGAGAGGCGAAAUAUUGGCAGAGGGGGAGAGGGAGAGGCACAGUGUGAGCCAGAGAGACCCGGGGAGAGUAGACAGAUACAUGAGAUAGAGAGAGACGGAAACAGAGACACAGGAGGGACAGAGAGACACAAGGAGACAGAGGCACAAUGAUGGAAAAAGACGGAGAGGGAUGUAGAGAAAUAAAGAGGCAGAGUCAAGGAUGGAGAAAUAGAAGAGGGAGACAAGGAAACGGACGGAAAGAAGAGACAGACGGUCUGAGAGCGCGAGCCUAGGGGGAGAAGGCGGAGACGUGGCGAACUCCCGGCGGCUCCUGUCUCGCGAGGACCCCGUCGCGCACCUUCGGGGUUGGGCGAACGCAGCAGGUUGCGGUACAGCGGCCGCCGGAGGAAGAGCAGCUUCCAGGUCUUUGCUCAAAUGUCACCUCCUCUGCAAAGCCUUCCCUGACUACCAGCUAAAACAGGCUUCGCACCCGCUCUCCUCUUCCCUGUCAUCACAGCCUAUUCUUCACCGUCAAAGAGCCCCAAGCGGUGGCAGCCUCCUGCCUUUCACGACUGCUGGCUGGGUCACUGGCCCUCUGGCUCCUCCAGCCUUCCCGGCGCGGUGGACAUCAGCUCCCUGGAUUAAACCCCACCUCCCACCCUGGGAAACCACUGGAGGGUUGGACCAGGAACCUCGUCUGCCCGCGUGGGCAAGUGCAGCAGGAGGGAGGGAGGGGUCUGGAGGAGGAGGCCCCCGCACCACCCAAAACCAUUCUCGAAACUGCAGAUGGCGACAGCAGGCAACACGAACAGCAGAAUCUCUGUGAAACCAGACAGAUGCCCCCACCAUGUAAAGUGACCAGGCAAGUGACUCUGCCCCUGAGCUGCUCUAGGCGCCCCAUGAGAUCAGGGCACCGAGGCUGGGAGUGGAGCAAGAGCAAUGUCCUCUCCAAUGCCGGCCUUACCUGGUUCUGGUCUCUUGGGCAUCCCAGCCUCCUGAGAGGAGCCGGGCAGCUAUCCCAGUUUCUGCCACGACGUGUACAGGACAGGAAUCACCUGACCCAGCCGGCAGAACUCCUCUGUAAAAGCAUUCAGGCUCAAGGCUGCGUGUGUGUGCUGGGGGGUGGGAGUGGGGGGUGUAUUUCAGUCUUGUGUUCUAUUUCUCCUUAUGCCAGUUUUGGCAUUUUUUCCCCAGAGACAUAUCCACUUCAUCUAGGCCUCAAACACUCGUCAGAUGCAGCAGCAGCUGCCUGCGCUGGUGAGUCUUAAAUCUCUGUGAUUGUCCAUCUAGGUCAUACAUGUACCUGGCCAGGCUGUGGCAGAAAUAGUGCCUGAUUCUUAGGGGACUCGGGGCCUGUGGGCAUGGGCGUGCUGGGGGCAGGUGCUGAGGGCGGGGAGACAGGACCGAGCUGGAUUCUUUGGGCCCGGUCCCCACCCCCCCACCUCCCGCUCACAAACCAGGCCCAGGUCCCUGGUGCCACUGCCGCCUGGAAGGCUCUGGGGAGAGGGGUUCAGUCCUUGCUCUCACAGUGUCCCCAGGAGGCUGCUGCUGCCCGACACCUCCCAAGGGGGCUGGGAAGGAUGAAGGCAAAGGGAAUGCAGAAGCAGCGCUAUCACCUGUCAGGUAGCUUCCUGUCCCUCUGAGACCCGCCCAGGCUCAGCCCGG